AACGAACGCUGGCGGCAGGCUUAACACAUGCAAGUCGAACGCCCCGCAAGGGGAGUGGCAGCCGGGUGAGUAACGCGUGGGAACAUACCCUUUUCUACUGAAUAUCUCUGGGAAACUGGAAUUAAUACCGUAUACGCCCUACGGGGGAAAGAUUUAUCGGGGAAGGAUUGGCCCGCGUUGGAUUAGCUAGUUGGUGGGGUAAAGGCCUACCAAGGCGACGAUCCAUAGCUGGUCUGAGAGGAUGAUCAGCCACAUUGGGACUGAGACACGGCCCAAACUCCUACGGGAGGCAGCAGUGGGGAAUAUUGGACAAUGGGCGCAAGCCUGAUCCAGCCAUGCCGCGUGAGUGAUGAAGGCCUUAGGGUUGUAAAGCUCUUUCACCGAUGAAGAUAAUGACGGUAGUCGGAGAAGAAGCCCCGGCUAACUUCGUG
rnacentral:rRNA from 1 species